UGGAGGCAUUUCCCCAACUGAAGCUCC
rnacentral:piRNA from 1 species